UACGUAGGGUGCGAGCGUUAAUCGGAAUUACUGGGCGUAAAGGGUGCGCAGGCGGUUUUGUAAGCCAGGUGUGAAAGCCCCGGGCUUAACCUGGGAAUGGCAUUUGGGACUGCAAGGCUAGAGUGUGGCAGAGGAGACUGGAAUUCCUGGUGUAGCAGUGAAAUGCGUAGAUAUCAGGAGGAAUACCGAUGGCGAAGGCAGGUCUCUGGGCUGACACUGACGCUCAUGCACGAAAGCGUGGGGAGCAAACAGG
rnacentral:rRNA from 1 species